rnacentral:rRNA from 1 species
UGGGGAAUAUUGGGCAAUGGAGGAAACUCUGACCCAGCAACGCCGCGUGAAGGAUGAAGGCCUUCGGGUUGUAAACUUCUGUUCUAAGGGAAGAAAAAAUAGACGGUACCUUAGAAGAAAGCCCCGGCAAACUACGUGCCAGCAGCCGCGGUGAUACGUAGGGGGCGAAGCGUUGUCCGGAAUGACUGGGCGUAAAGCGAGUGUAGGCGGUUUUUUAAGUUAAAUGUGAAAGCCCGAGGCUUAACCUCGGAACUGCAUUUAAUACUGGAGAACUAGAGUGUGGGAGAGGUAAGUGGAAUUCCUAGUGUAGCGGUGGAAUGCGUAGAUAUUAGGAGGAACAUCAGUGGCGAAGGCGACUUACUGGAACAUAACUGACGCUGAGGCUCGAAAGCGUGGGUAGCAAACAGGAUUAGAUACCCUGGUAGU